UACGAAGGGGGCUAGCGUUGCUCGGAUUGACUGGGCGUAAAGGGCGCGUAGGCGGUUCGUACAGUCAGACGUGAAAUUCCUGGGCUCAACCUGGGGGCUGCGUUUGAUACGUGCGGACUUGAGUGCGGAAGAGGGUCGUGGAAUUCCCAGUGUAGAGGUGAAAUUCGUAGAUAUUGGGAAGAACACCGGUGGCGAAGGCGGCUCUCUGGGCCUUACCUGACGCUGAGGAGCGAAAGCGUGGGUAGCGAACAGG
rnacentral:rRNA from 1 species